rnacentral:rRNA from 1 species
GGGGAGUGUUAGUUGUGUCGGGGUAUCUUUAGGGGUAGCGGCGGCGAGGGAGGGUGGAACAAGCAAACGGCGGUACAGACACCGCAGAAGGAAGAGAGACUGGCAGGGUCGACUGAAGGACGAGGGAGAGUUGGGCAUAGGAAAAACGCCGCUGCUCUAGCGCUGCGCUGCUUGCAGCGUUCCUGCCCUCUGUUCCGCCCAGUAGCCAAGAUGUUCACAUCUUUUAUGCUAACUAUGUCUCUGUAACUAUAAACUUUCCACGUAUUCGAAGGUGUGGUUGUCAGCUACCCUUGUUGGUCUUAGUACGUGACUACAGAGUUUUGUAAAAGACGUAAACUUUCAUCUACCCUCGUACAUUGGUCAAUGAAACAACCGUAAAUUGUUUAGCUUCUUCUAUACGUGGUCCAAAAAGUCCAAUUAAAAGACGUCAGUACGUAUAGUUCAACAAGGUAAGCCUUACGUUUAGAAAAAGACGUUCCUACCGUACAACACUUGUUGUUGGAAAACAUAGAUGUUGUUUUGAAACGAUGGACGUGAUUGAAACGUUGUCAACCUAUUAAAAGAGACCUAAAUAAAGAAACAGUUACGCGGCGUGGUCGCUGAUGGUGAAGCCGCUACUGACAGCAAAAGAGGUAGUGAAGGGGUGGUACCUGUACUAGUCCGAUAAAUGCUUUUUUCUACUUGUUGACCUGGAUCCGCGACUCCCCUCGAGUCCUUCGGUUACACAGAACCCUCGUCGAAGUUCUGGUCCGAUACGUACUCGAAACAGCAGCCCCCACGGUGAACCGGCUACCGUUUCAACUCGACGCGUACGGUCUGCGUAGAAGUCUUCAGGUUCUAGUUCAUCAAAAGUACCAUAAACACUACUAACACACAGACAACAAAACGUCUUUACGGAUUUAUCUUUGAAUAGAAAAAACAACAUCAGGUAAAAAAGCCAAGUUACUUCCGUACUAUCCGUUCCGUUGUUUUUACCUAACUUGUCCUUGAGUAACAUAGAGAAUCAUACAAGGAGAUUAAGAUUAACUUGUCAUGUUAAGAAGUCCAUCGACCUGUAGUGGAGAAGGUGAGGAUAAAAUGUACAUUAUUUACGUAAUAGUCGAAGCCACAAUAAUGUAAGAGAACCUAUUACUCGUCCCAUUCACAGUUAGGUUCUCUCUAUCACGACUGUCUGUCGUUCCAGGAGUUCAAGACCCAACUCCUACUCACGUUCUAAAAACCCUAGGGAACGCCAGUAGCGUUUUAGUUUCCGUCCCUACGGUUGUAUUUGGGACUUCGUUAAGUCAAGUAUUUCCAAUGUGAACUUUACUUGUUCUGUUCCCAAGUGUCGAACGCGCGUCGUCUUCUCAAGGAAAACACGCUGUAGUUGCUCUUAAGGUCGUUCGAACUUUUUCUAACAAAGGUCUAUCGGAAACAAUAUAAAAUAGUACCCGGUACACGAACGAGACAAUAUAUGGUCGACAAUAGCUUGUCGGAAUAGUUACGUCCUGUGAAGGUGGCCGUACUGGAUGACAAGAGACGAAGACCAAAGGGGACAUAUUAAACU